GCCGGGUGCCGACUCCUGUAUAGCGACCUGAGACCUCUGGGUUCUGAGAUGGGGUGUCUGGGGUCUUGGUUCAAUGCCGGGGUCCUGGGUACUGAGCAGCAGC
ensembl:miRNA